rnacentral:sRNA from 1 species
UCGCCAGGGAGACUGAAGCCCACAGAACAGAUAUGACCCAUCCAGCCAUAUGGCAAGUUCCUGCCCCAUCAAUGUGCCUCCUCCCUGAUCUUAAGGGAUCGCGUCUAGGGAUGAGGGGAUAGUUUAGGGCUUCAUCCAUUGCCCACUGUGAUAUUU